CUUUAAUUAACAAAACACCUACAGUGUACCUGCUUUCCACUCAUUUCCUCUAUUGACCACACCCUUUCCCUGGCCUCCCAUUCACACGUCGUCACUAGAUGCUGUUUGUCAACUAAUCUCAUUACAGUUCUCUGAAUACUUCCUCUUCCUUUCUCCUUCUCUCUCCUCCAAGCCCUUCCACUCAGCCCAGAGCCAGAUGGUCAUCAUGACUACUCUGAUGUCUGUGUCUAACUCAGUCAGAGCAACCUUGAGGGCCGACCAGGUUCUGUGGCCCCUCCCAGGAGUGCUGUCAGAAGCUAUUUUCUGCCUCACUCGUUGACUAAAUGAGGUAAAAAGGAGAGACGGAUGAAUGGAUGGAUAUCUACAGGGCUAAGGCUGGACUGGGGUCAGGUCAGGUCAUCAGGGCUGAGGAGGUUAAUGUCCCCAGGAUGAGGCAGCCAGAGGCUCCACUGCAGUACUGGGGAGAGGGACCAUAGAGAGGGACAAGAUGUCUGUCCUAUUUACAUAGAGGAUUAUUGCAGGAAUCAGUCAGUGUAGCUUUGCCACCUGUCAACACAGCAGGUCAAUAAACACACUGUCCAGAACAGCUUCUGAUGGUGUGUUUCUUGGACUGAAACACUUCUGCUGUAGGUUUCAACCAGUCCUCCUCCGGUAAUGUCCUUAAUAGGGGACACAGAGGAGUCUGGUGGCUUAACACUGUGGGCGUGUCCGUCUGUUGAUCUCCUGUUCUGCAAUAGGGGUGUCCUUACAAUUACACUGCCAAUUGCCCAUGUGGCUCUGUUCAACAAAAGAUAGGUGACACAUUGGUUUCUAAACACUGCCACUGAAAAAAUUUACGCUACACUGGAUGUCCUUUGAGCUUUAAAAACAACCAAUGGACGGAUCAAUUGCUGUUUUUAAGCAUUAGGAGAAAGAUUGAGGAAUGUGUGAAAUUAUCUUUUGAGUCCUGGGAGUGAACUACAGUUCUAGAAGUGUAAAGGGCCAAGCUUCAGGAGGAGCAGGACGUUAACACACAGCUGACACCAGCAGAACAUCCAACACAGGUGAAGACACU
ensembl:lncRNA